rnacentral:rRNA from 1 species
UACGGGGGGGGCAAGCGUUGUUCGGAAUUACUGGGCGUAAAGGGCUCGUAGGUGGCCAACUAAGUCAGACGUGAAAUCCCUCAGCUUAACUGGGGAACUGCGUCUGAUACUGGAUGGCUUGAGUUUGGGAGAGGGAUGCGGAAUUCCAGGUGUAGCGGUGAAAUGCGUAGAUAUCUGGAGGAACACCGGCGGCGAAGGCGGCAUCCUGGACCAACACUGACACUGAUGAGCGAAAGCCAGGGGAGCAAACGGG